UUUUGGAGUGGAGAGGGUGGUGUUUGAGAGCUGUUUCAGGUCGGUUUCGCGGCUGUUUGAAUGAUUCCGGUGGUGGGUGGUUUGCUUAAUGUUGUUCCAGCUUGGAACUGGCCGGAAAUGGAGAAGAAAGGUCUUGUUGUCGUCACCGGAAAGUAGAGGAAAAUGGGUUUGUUGUUAAUGUUUUCUGCUUGAUGUCGUUUCUGGUUUUUGGGGGUUUGAGUGGUGGUUUCAGGUGGUCGUUUGGAGGUUGUCUUGGUGGUGUUUUGCUGGAAAACGAAGAAAAUGAAUGGGGAUUGCCGGAGCUUGAUUUGGGGUUUUAAUUUGGUAUAAAUGGGUCGGGUUCGGAUUAAAAAGAGAAAAAAUUGGGUUAUUUAAUUGAAAUUGGGUAAUUUUAGUUGAUUUGGGUUUUCCAUCCAAUUGAGGGGUAAAUUUGGUGAAAUUAGUAACGGUAGGGGUAAAAUUAACUUCAUUUUAACGGCGAGGGUAAAGUCAACUAAUAAAACAAAGUUGAG
rnacentral:lncRNA from 1 species